rnacentral:rRNA from 1 species
UACGAGUGGGGCAAGCGUUGUUCGGAAUUAUUGGGCGUAAAGAGCUCGUAGGCGGUCUGUCGCGUCGGUCGUGAAAACUUGGGGCUUAACCCUGAGCUUGCGGUCGAUACGGGCAUGACUGGAGUUCGGUAGGGGAGACUGGAAUUCCUGGUGUAGCGGUGAAAUGCGCAGAUAUCAGGAGGAACACCGGUGGCGAAGGCGGGUCUCUGGGCCGAUACUGACGCUGAGGAGCGAAAGCGUGGGGAGCGAACAGG